AGUGAGUGAGUGAGUGAGUGAGUGAGUGUGCAUGUUUAGUCUGCACUGUGCUCAGUCGCACUUCACUGAGACACACCCUUCCCCUUCACUGUUUUGUUUCUAGAAAAGUCGGUCUGAGUUUCACUUCACAGGGGAGGUGGAGACUCAGGUUUUGUUGCUACCCUGCAGUAUAAAAUCCCCAAACGGCUCGCUCUCCUCAGUCCUGCAGUCCCCUGCUGAACGCCAUUAUGACAACCACAGAUGAGCAGGAUGAAGAGGAAGAUGAUGAUUAUGACGAAAAGUAUGAAGAUUACAAGUAUAAUUACAUUUUAUAGUGUAAAGUCAGUCUACUGCCAAGGGUAGCACACCGGGUUCCUUUUUGGAACCGGUGGGCAGAAGUCCAUCUGAGGCACUGAAACAGGCCUUAAAACUAGGAGGCGGAACUCCUUCCAGACGAGGAAGGACUUAACCUCGAACAAAACAGACUACCACUAUCACAAUGCUAUGUGAAGGUACUUGAAGGAAUUUCUGAGGCCCCUACCAGAUGAGGAAGGAGGACUUAAGCCUUGAAACCAUGAAGCGAGAAGACUCUCACAAUAUGAAGGCAGUUUAUUAUGUUAAUCAUAACAUGAUUAACAUAAUUUCUUUUGUACCUUAAACUAAUGGACAUACUGUAUGUUCAACUAUCACAAUGCUAUGUGAAGCAAUGUGAAGUGUCUCCGAACAUUUCAGGGUAAACUGCUUGCCCAAAAUGGUCAGGAUUGCAUAAUUUCCUAUAUGAGGAUAUUAUAAUGGUAUAUCUUUUCAAUAAUGUAAACCAUGCAUCUAACUGAUAAAUGAGGAAAUAGGACUUAAUUAAGCCUUCUAUACUUCAAGUGAGAAGACACUCACAAUGUGAAAGCAUACAGUUACAGGUUAUAAAUAAUAUAAUAGUAUGUUUAUUAUCGAACCAUGUUUACUUGUACUGUUAUUACCGAUGUGAAAUGGCUAGCUAGUUAGCGGGGUGCGCGCUAAUAGCGUUUCAAUCGUAAUGUCACUUGCUCUGAGACCUGGAAGUAGUUGUUCCUCUUGCUCGGCUUUUGUGGAGCGAUGUGUAACGAUGCUUCAAGGGUGACUGUAGUCUAUGUGUGCAGGGGGUCCCUGAUUCGAGCCCAGGUAAGGGCAAAGAGAGGGACGGAAGCUAUAGGGACUAUGUUCAAAAAUAACUAGGAUUUCUGUCGCUUGGUUUUGUGGCUAACGGGAACAUUUGAGGGUAGUUGUUCAGGAUAAAAUGGUUAUGAUUGCCUAUAUUUUCAUAAUGUAUUAUGAACAUAAUUUAGGGUGAUUACGUAUGUUCAUAUAUAGUGUAUAUGUAGAUACAACUAACUAUCAAAGCCAACAUCUCCCUUCACUUGGAGCCACGUGUUGAAUGUCCCUUCUUGUGUUUUACUUGUUUUGAAAUAAAUGUUUUCUUUCAUUCUAA